ACAGGGAGAUUCAAUUCUGAAGAACUGCAAUCUGGGUAUGAAGAUGCAGACGAGUUUCUCUCAGAAAAAGAGUUCAAGACGGCUUAUUAUGAUGAUGUCACCAGCAACAGUGGUCUAGAAGAAAAUAUGGUGAAGGAAAUCACUCCAGGAUAUUAUGAUGAUGUCAUCGCUGACGGCUUGAAGCCAGAUCUAGAGACAGAAGACAGACCUGAGAGUUAUGAUGAUGUCAUGAUGAGUGAAGAGACCUCUAUUAUUAAAAAAGUGGACAAUCCAGAGUAUUAUGAUGAUGUCAUUAUUAAUGGACAGAACCUUGAUCAUU